AGCUCUGUUGUUAGGGAAGAACAAAUGUGUAAGUAACUGUGCACAUCUUGACGGUACCUAACCAGAAAGCCACGGCUAACUACGUGCCAGCAGCCGCGGUAAUACGUAGGUGGCAAGCGUUAUCCGGCAUUAUUGGGCGUAAAGCGCGCGUAGGCGGUUUUUUAAGUCUGAUGUGAAAGCCCACGGCUCAACCGUGGAGGGUCAUUGGAAACUGGAAAACUUGAGUGCAGAAGAGGAACGUGGAAUUCCAUGUGUAGCGGUGAAAUGCGAGAGGAACAGCAGUGGCGAAGGCUGCGAAGGCGGCUUUCUGGUCUGUAACUGACGCUGAUGUGCGAAAGCGUGGGGAUCAAACAGGAUUAGAU
rnacentral:rRNA from 1 species